AUCCACUUGACUAGUCCCAAAUAGGACGAAACACGCGUUAAACUGGAU
rfam:Schistosoma mansoni, Puerto Rico, WGS project CABG01000000 data, contig: 0169